rnacentral:tRNA from 1 species
GGAGGCUUGGCAGAGUGGACGAUUGCGGCGGUCUUGAAAACCGCAGGGCCCGCAAGGGUUCCGGGGGUUCGAAUCCCUCAGCCUCCGCCA